rnacentral:rRNA from 1 species
UUUUCGCAAUGCCCGAAAGGGUGACGAAGCGACGCCGCGUGGGUGAGGAAGGCCCUCGGGUUGUAAAGCCCUGUCAGGAGUUAAGAAAUGUAGAUACGCUAAUAUCGUAUCUAUUUGACAAAGGCUCCAAAGGAAGCCACGGCUAACUCUGUGCCAGCAGCCGCGGUAAUACAGAGGUGGCAAGCGUUGUUCGGAAUUAUUGGGCGUAAAGAGCACGUAGGUGGAUUUGUAAGUCAGAUGUGAAAGCCUUCUGUUCAACGGAAGAAUUGCAUCUGAAACUACAAACCUUGAGUAUAGGAGGGGAGAAUGGAACUUCUGGUGGAGCGGUGAAAUGCGUAGAUAUCAGAAGGAACGCCGGCGGCGAAAGCGAUUCUCUGGCCUAUUACUGACACUCAGUGUGCGAAAGCUAGGGGAGCAAACGGGAUUAGAUACCCCGGUAGUCCUAGCCGUAAACGAUGGGCACUAAGUAGAGGGGUUUUAA